UGUCGAGUCGAUAGCAUAGAGGACACAGCUGUUCCCAGUCGGAACGCAGAAGUUAAGCUCUAUCACGCCGAAAGUAGUUGACGGAUCGCUAGCUGCGAGGAUAGUAAUAUGCGAUGCCGUAC
rnacentral:rRNA from 1 species